rnacentral:rRNA from 1 species
UACAGAGGUCUCAAGCGUUGUUCGGAUUCAUUGGGCGUAAAGGGUGCGUAGGUGGCGCCGUAAGUCAGGUGUGAAAUUUCGGAGCUUAACUCCGAAACUGCAUUUGAUACUGCGGUGCUUGAGGACUGGAGAGGAGACUGGAAUUCACGGUGUAGCAGUGAAAUGCGUAGAUAUCGUGAGGAAGACCAGUGGCGAAGGCGGGUCUCUGGACAGUUCCUGACACUGAGGCACGAAGGCCAGGGGAGCGAACAGG